AAACUGCAAGUUCGAACGGCAGCGCGGACUUCGGUCUGGCGGCGAGUGGCGAACGGGUGAGUAAUACAUCGGAACGUGCCCUGUUGUGGGGGAUAACUAGUCGAAAGAUUAGCUAAUACCGCAUACGACCUGAGGGUGAAAGCGGGGGACCGUAAGGCCUCGCGCAAUAGGAGCGGCCGAUGUCUGAUUAGCUAGUUGGUGGGGUAAAGGCCCACCAAGGCGACGAUCAGUAGCUGGUCUGAGAGGACGAUCAGCCACACUGGGACUGAGACACGGCCCAGACUCCUACGGGAGGCAGCAGUGGGGAAUUUUGGACAAUGGGGGCAACCCUGAUCCAGCAAUGCCGCGUGUGUGAAGAAGGCCUUCGGGUUGUAAAGCACUUUUGUCCGGAAAGAAAUCGCUCUGGCUAAUACCUGGGGUGGAUGACGGUACCGGAAGAAUAAGCACCGGCUAACUACGUGCCAGCAGCCGCGGUAAUACGUAGGGUGCGAGCGUUAAUCGGAAUUACUGGGCGUAAAGCGUGCGCA
rnacentral:rRNA from 1 species